rnacentral:tRNA from 1 species
AAAGCUUUAAGUUAAAAAAACUAGUAACCUUCAAAGUUUCAAUUACUUUUUAGUAAGCUUUA